rnacentral:misc_RNA from 1 species
CGUGAGUGAUGACGGCGAACUCGCCAGCCUUGACCUGAAUCGUCUUCUUCUCGCACUUGAGGCCGAGGGCGCGAUACUCGGUCGGGUUCUCGGCUUCAGCGCGCCACACGCCGGCGUGCAUCGAGCCCGCGUACCAGUCAAACGGCUCCUCGUCGACGAUGUCUCGGUCGCGGAAGGUGUAGCGCUCCACGCCCGUGGCCUGGUUCUCUUGGAUGAAGAACGCAGCCUGUC